CGACCAAUCCUUCGCGACCCCGUUGCCAGGCAACGCCGGGGCGUCCGCCCAGCCGGACCCGGGCUUCCGGAGCGCGCUCGGACCCGGGAUGGGAAGUGAUGCCCAAGGGCUUCUGUUGAGUUGAUGACAUCACGUUGAGAGAGAGAAAAGGGUGAACGCGAAAACCAAGGACGCCAACGCUGAAAGCUCAGGAGGGAAGGAUACAAAUUUCCACGUACUCGCGCUUUUCAGUUCCACCGCCCCCUUCCGGAGGUUGGUGAAGCGUGAGCCUACGCCUUUGCACAGGUGACUUCAGCUAGCCGGAAAGGCAGCGGAGGAGUCCGGGGUCUCGGAGGGAAGAGCAUCAAGGUCUCCCUUGACCCGCGCCUCCUAGACUGCGUCCUUAAACACAAGACAAGGGGCCUUCUCUCUGGGUACUAACUCUGCAGUGCAGCUUAAAGUGUGCCUUUAGCAUGAAUUUCCAUAUUGGGAAAUGCGCAGUUUGGGGGUCACUCUCCUGGGUCCUUCCUGCUUAUGCCGUCAGACGAACCUCCCACCCAGGCCUGUGUCUUAAUGCAGUUCAGGGUCUAAAUGAACUCCUUUCAUAGGACUACCCAGCUCUUCAAUUCCUGAUCCAGCGAAUGGGAGCAUUCGUCCCUCGGAUAUGCAGCAAUCCUCAGCCCCACCCAGCAGGUUCCUGGCUUCACCAGCCUGGAGUGCCACAACUACAGUCUUCCAUCCUAAGAGGCACAAAGGAGUGCUGUUCUGCAGUCUGGGUAGUUCAUCCAUUCAAGGGAAAGCAGAUGCUGAGAAGAGGCUCACAUCACUUUGUCUUCACCCUGGCCCGCACUUCACCUGAGAAAAGUAUGGCUGAGAAGUUACUGGCUUGCCCAAGGCCAAACAAGCAAAAGAGGAGGUUCAAGGCCAGAUUCUCUGUACUUUUCUGGCAUCUCUCAGCAGCAGCAAGGCAAGGCUGACUGAGAAGGGAAGUUAACCAGGAAGAAAUUAAGGAUUAAAGACAUGUUCCCAUAUAAAUGCACAAAGGAUGCGUUCAGGACAGAGAUGUUGCCCUGACACAUUCACAAAGGAACUGUGCUGAGUCACACCAGCCCUUGGGCUGAGCUGCUCUAAGCUACUAUGCCUUACAAGUCCUCUCCACAGUCCCUGUGACUUGGAGGUGGGGUGUUGCCAUAAAGGUUGGGCACUACCCAAGCCCUCUGCAACAGUAAGAGGCAGGCCAUUUCCUCAGGUGCAGACACCUAUCUCCUCACCUAUCUCGGAUUCAAUUCCUCCUAACCAGGUCUGGUCUAAACGUUCCAGAAGUCAAGAAAUUAAACGAGAGAUAACACUCUCCUUACAUUAAUGAUAAUCAUGUCAUGUACCCAGAUAUUUUGGGUCUUUGGCCUAAUUUUUCUUUUUUGGUACUGGAGACUGAACCCAAGGGCCCUUUACCACAUCCCCAGUCCUAUUUAUUUUGAGACACGGUCAUGCUAAGUUGCCAAGGCUGGCUGGAUCUUGUACUGAUUCAGCCUCCUCAGUCACUAUGUUUACAGGUGCACACCCCCCACAGUUGGCUGACCUAAUUUCUGUAAGCUGGUUAGAACAUGCCUCAUUUUCCUUAAGGUUCUGGGUUUCUGAGGCUUUCUACAAUGCACCUGCUUGUUCACCUUGGCUUUGGCACAGCGGGCCCUCAAAUGAGUGGACACCAAGUAGUUAUGUGCCCUUUGUCUUUAUACCUGAGGACAUCCAUGCACACACAUUUAUGUACAUUUAACAAGUGGCUCUAAGCCACUUUAGCUCAUUUUCUUACUCAGGUUCUCUAAUAGCUGGAUUGUGACACUGCAUACUGAUGAUACUCCCCUUGCCCCCCUUAUAGCCUCUGGCUGUAGAUUCUAGGGAUAGAACCGAAUGUGCCCAGUACCCCCUUCCUCUCUCAGGAUGACACUUUCUCCCAUGGCUUCAGUCAUUAUUCUUUCAGAAUUCAGUAUGAAAGAGAACUACCUAGCACUUUAUUUUACUUAGGCUUUUGAUGCUUAACCUGUUCCACAAAGGCUCCCGUGCACUUCCUUGCUCUGUCUUGGAAUACGGUUCUGGGUUCAUCUGGCACCAUUUCUAGCCCUUACUCAGGAAGCGGCGCUGGUUCCUUUUAGUGGCGAAUGAUAAUAGAGACCACAAUCCAGAUACUGUCCACUGCUCCUGGGGCAUAACUAGGAAAUGUGGAUUUCUUUAAAUGAAUAAGGAUGAAUUCAUACCUAGAUUUCCUAUACUUUGAACUACAGAUUUUUAUAAAUUAAUUCUUGGAUUUUAUUGUCUUUUUCUCAGGAAAAAAUUAGUUUUAACAUUAAGAUAGUUAUUAGCUUUAAUCCACACUGCACAUAAUUUCAAAGGAUUAAUUCCGAUAAAACUAGUAAUAAGAUUACUGAAUGGAAUUUAGGAUUACUUAGCGGCUUCACUUGUUUUUAAACUAUAGCGCUGUAGUUCAUUAAAUCUAUACAGCGUGCCAUGUUCUAACAUCCCUGUCAAGAUGCGGGAGGGCUGCACACUGCUAAUGCCAUGAGGUCAGCCAGGCCCAGCGCUGCAGCUGCUUGAGGACAGGCUCUGGGGUGGCAGCACCUGGGUACAGGCUGGACCCCUGAAACCUGGUGCCCAAAGUGAGAACCAGCUCUGCAACACACCAGUGCUUCCCCUGCCUCAUACCUCCUACUUUUCAACUGCUUCUCCAGAUCACUUCUAAAUUCUUCUUCUUUUUUUUUUUUUAGUAUUUAUUUUUUAGUUUUAGUGAGGAUUGAACCCAGGGCUUUUGCACGUGCUAGGCAAGCACUCAGCUGCUAAGCCAAACCCCAGCCCCUCCAAAUUCUUGUCUUUGGCAUGGCUUCUGUGAAUCCAAUUCAAGGCAGUUCAGUUCAUUCAUCUCAGUCUAAACAAUUAUCUGUAUAUACUUUGGAUUACAGAUUUUUAUAAAUUAAUUCUUGUCUUUAGUUUUAACAUUAAGAUAGUUAUUAGCUUUAAUCCACACUGCACAUAAUUUCAAAGGAUUAAUACCGAUAAAACUAGUAAUGAGAUUACUGAAUGGAAUUUAGGAUUACUUAGUGGCCUCACUUGUUUUUAAACUAUAGUGCUACAGUUCAUUAAAUCUGUAUAGCGUGCUGUAUUCUAACAUCGUGUUCUAACACUGUGUUCAAACAUUUACAUAUUUGGAAAUAUGUAAAACAUUAUUUGGUCCCACUUCUAGCCCUGCCCCUGCAUGGCCUCAUCCUUCACUUUACUUUUAAGGUAUCUUAAGGGAAAAAAAAAUAAAAAAGAGGUGAGCAGAUCUGUAUUUGCUUCCUAUUAAACAGGGCUCCCUUUCCUUUCCUUCUCACAGCUGCAGCACCUGCUGCACUCUGGGAUAAAUAUACCUUCCAUUAGAAAUGGGCAUCUUGCUGUUUCUAGUUUUAAGAAUGCCACCAUGAAGGAUUGUGCAGUCUUUUCAUUUCAUUUCUCCUUUAAGUAGAACUGCUGUGUCACUGACUCAGCAAGUAAACAUACAUGCAGUUUUAUUCUCUUCCAUGACUGUAAGGUUCUGCCUUCCCACCAGCAAUGCAUGGAUCCUUGCAUCCCACCACUUCACAGGAAACAUUAAGAAGGCAAACAUCUGGGUGUUUGCCAUUCACAGAGAUGAGAAAUUUUACCUCAAUAUAGCCUUUUAUUUUUGGUCAGCCUUUUUAUCAGCUUUAUUGAGGUACAAUUAGCAGAAGAUAAUGAACAUAUUCACCACUCACGUUUCCUUUGCCCAUCCCACGUCUACAGGCAACCACUGGGCUGCUUCCUGCCAAGAUACUAGUUUGCAUUCUCCAGACUUCCGCCCAUGGAAUCACACAGUGUGUACUCUCCCAGCUGCUCCUCCCAGGAGAGAUGACUGGGACUCAUCCACACUGCCGUGCAUACCAACAGCUCACUUCUUAAUACUGAGCACAAUACAAUGGCCCUUUUUCUGGAGGUGAGGAGACGGCUCCAUUAUGUAACCAACUCCUAGGUCAUUUUCAGUGGCUAGAUUUCCACUAACUUUCUGCUUUUAUGUUUUAUGGUCAAGAACCUAAAGAGACACUAACUCCAUUCUACAUCCAAACUUUUCUACUGAAUUGUCCACCCUAUUAUUCAGUUUUUAUUUUCUAUUACACCCUAACAUUCUCCAAAGUCUAGCUUAGUGUCUGGCACAAAGAAUAAAUAAGGAAUUCAACACGUAGUUACUGGGCACUGGACAUGGGAAGAAGACAUACUGUGCAUCUUUAAUGUGACUCCAUGAGGGCAGAGGACAUGUGGGUCCCCACAUCUACUGCCCUACAGGACACGACUUCAAAGACAAGGUGAACCCAGUGCUGCCUUGCUUGCCUUAUGAAAUGCUUCUUAUCAAAAGGACACUUUAGAAACAAAAUCAGAUUACUUUUUAGGGAAGAAUUUUAUAAAGAAUGGAUUCAUAUUUAAAAUGAGUUGUACCUUUAAAGAGAACAGAUUUAAAAGGAAACCCAUUUACUCCAUCAGUCUCAUUCAUUCAGGGUUUAGUCGCUCCAAUUCUUCACAAGUUCACCUCCUGAACCACUGGACAAGAACAAGGAGAAGUUUUCUUCCUUUGCUGUCAGGAAUGAAAAUUCUUCUUAAGAAUACACAACAGAAUUUCUGGAUUUUGAUGUGACAGAAUAAUAAGAUAAUUACAUUUGCUAAAUUACAUAUGCCUACAGCCAAACAGUACAGGUUUUAAAUGGGUUUGGAAAUAUAAGAAGGGUUGCUCAUUUUGUUUUGAUUGUGCCCAGGAUGAUAAAGCAAGGGAUAAAGACAGGCAAAGCUGUCCCCCAUGCUGAGUCCUUACAAGCUGCUAGCCAGGGGACUGAUGACAUCUGUGAAGCGUAUUGCUUGUUCACGAGCACAGAAUCUACCAUCUACCGAGACAGGUUCAACAGGAGCAGCUGCGCAAGCUGUGACACAUGGCGACAGAAGCCACCUCUGCGACCCUAGGUUCAGUCAGUAGGAGCGAAUGGCAGGGGGAACAGU